CCAUAGGUCUUCCACCGUAGUAGAGCUGCUAAGAUCUUUCCGGCGUUGAUUUGUCUCGGCUGGAUACAGUGGGCAAGUUGCAUCGGGGGAUUGGACCUCUCUAUUAGGCAUGAGAUGUUGUAGGGGUAAAGAUAGGGUUGGGCUCAAUAACUGUUAGGUGAGGGACCCAAUGAUGGCUUUGCUUCUGCGGUUAUACGGUGGGUCCGACUUAACUAAGGAAUGGGGCCAAUAACUGUUAGGUGAGAUCUUCAUUACUUAGAGACCUGAUAGCGCUACAACUUGCUUGAGAAGCAUUGUACAAGAGUUGUACACUCAUCAUUUAUAUGUCACCAAUAACUGUUAGGUGAGGUGGCAUGUAAAUUGGUGGGACCGUAGCACCCCACUUGAAACCUAGAGUCGCAAGGUUUCCGUUUCUCUACCAGAGAAGUGUGAGAGAUUCGAGGAAAUAGUGGGAGGUGUAUUUGUUUUAAAAAAAAAGGCCCUAAAACAAAUAGAGUUCAAGUACAAAAUUCUAACUAGAAUCUUUACUCUCUGAUGAUUAUAAAGUCAGCUUCUAGACUC
rnacentral:lncRNA from 1 species